rnacentral:miRNA from 1 species
CAUAUGCUGUAUAGAUAAAUGUCCAUGUGCUAGUGUGUAGGUGUAUGUACACACACACACACACACACACACACACACACACACCCCAGCAGCAGA